rnacentral:rRNA from 1 species
GGGCUGGGACGACGUCUGAUCCAGCCAUGCCGCGUGCAGGAUGACAGCCCUACGGGUUGUAAACUGCUUUUAUACAGGAAGAAACACUCCGACGUGUCGGAGCUUGACGGUACUGUAAGAAUAAGGAUCGGCUAACUCCGUGCCAGCAGCCGCGGUAAUACGGAGGAUCCAAGCGUUAUCCGGAAUCAUUGGGUUUAAAGGGUCCGCAGGCUGUUUUUUAAGUCAGAGGUGAAAUCCUGCAGCUCAACUGUAGAACUGCCUUUGAUACUGGAAAACUUGAGUUAUUGUGAAGUGGUUAGAAUGUGUGGUGUAGCGGUGAAAUGCAUAGAUAUCACACAGAAUACCGAUUGCGAAGGCAGAUCACUAACAAUAUACUGACGCUCAUGGACGAAAGCGUGGGGAGCGAACAGGAUUAGAUACCCUGGUAGUCCACGCCGUAAACGAUGGAUACUAGCUGUUCGUCUAACAUUGGUUAGAUGAGUGGCUAAGCGAAAGUGAUAAGUAUCCCACCUGGGGAGUACGGUCGCAAGACUGAAACUCAAAGGAAUUGACG